rnacentral:rRNA from 1 species
GACAGAGGGUGCGAACGUUGUUCGGAAUUACUGGGCGUAAAGCGUGCGCAGGCGGUUCGUUAAGUCAGCUGUGAAAGCCCCGGGCUCAACCUGGGAAUUGCGGUUGAAACUGGCGAACUAGAAUCUGGCAGAGGGGGGUGGAAUUCCACGUGUAGCAGUGAAAUGCGUAGAGAUGUGGAGGAACACCGAUGGCGAAGGCAGCCCCCUGGGCUGAGAUUGACGCUCAGGCACGAAAGCGUGGGGAGCAAACAGG